GGAGGGCUGGCAGAACGGCUAUUGCACCGGUCUUGAAAACCGGCGCCGCGAAAGCGGCUUACAGGUUCGAAUCCUGUGCCCUCCG
rnacentral:tRNA from 1 species